UGCCGGGGCAAUAAAAACUCUGA
rnacentral:miRNA from 1 species